rnacentral:lncRNA from 1 species
CUUGGAGGUCUGACCCUCUCUAAAACCUCCCAACAGGUAAACUAGGUACCUGGCUGCUCUGGUCUGGCCUUCUCUCCCGUGUCUCACUCAAGCUGUGUCUAGCACCAGGGUUUGGAUGGGUCCAGCUUUCCCUCCCAUGGCGCAAGGGUCCCUGGGGAAGAGGCUGCCUGGGGCUCGAGGGGGAGAGGCCCAGUCUCUGACAGGCCUGAGUCUGCCUUGCCUCCCACAGCUACUGCACCUCAGCUGCCUGGGAGGAACCCCCUUCCCCGCAGAGCCUAGGAACACGUAGCUGAUGUCAGUACACCCGGCAGGCGCUUAACACGGUCCUGCAUCCUGGUCUAAUCCUGCCAAGAUACUGAUCCUCAGCCACUGCAGACCCCCAGGAACUCCCCCCGGGACAGCUGGAGAGUCACAGAGGCCCUGGAGUAGGACAUGGUUAGAAGUGCAGAAGUUUUGCAAUAAACAUGGAGUCCCUUCCUGCUGCUGGGACAAGGUUGAACAGCCCUUGUAUGUACCUCUCAGCCAAAAAGAAACCGCGUACUAAAACAGCCAGUCUGAUACAACAGCGCUAGAGGAUGCCCAACACUGACCCCUCCCUCUCCAGGGGAUCCUGUUCCCCUUGCCUUGGCUGUCCUUUAGGAGGUGAUAUCUGCUUCCCCCUGGAACCCCUGUGUGCUGUCCUGCAUGUGGCUGGCUUCACAGGGCAGAACUUGGUGGAGGCCGUGCCAUAGCAACACGUGCAGGUCCUUCUCAUUCUUCUCCGCUUACAACUCCCAGCGAGGUUGUGCCAUAUUUAACAUCACCCAGCCCUGCCCGUGUCCCUUGAGUUCCUCCCAGGCCUCUGCCACUCUGAAAGUUAAUGUCCACUGAAUGCCACGGCAUAGCAUAUGUUCACCCAAGUUCCUCAGUGGGGGUGGUCUGAGCCAAGAGUGGGGGAAGCUUGGGUGAGUAAAGUGGGGUCUGUCCGCACCUCAGUGUGGUGGGAAACAGAGAGCCGUGGGAGGCUUGGGAGCAGGCGGCCCGGGUUGGUUUUGGGGUGUGCAAGGGCUUCCUUGCCUCCCUGAGCGAAUCUCACUCAUCUACACUCUUCAGUUGGGUGCUCCCACUUCUGGAGGAGGCCUUGCUAGGGUGCCAGGGAGGGAGAGAACAGGAAGGCGUAGGAGCUGGCUGGCUGCCCGUGGGGCCCAGGACAGCUGUGGACAGUUCAGCGGCUGACCCCAGACAGAGGCCCUUUGUGUCUGCUCCCUGGGUGAGGGAGUCCUCAGCUCAGGCUGGCGGCCAAGCUGGUUUGGGCUGUCUGGGCUGCAAAUUACCCUCCUCCCCCAGUGGGGCCCAUUGCUCCCUGAAAGCUCUGCUGGGGAGACCACGGUGACCUGCUCCCUCCCUCCUCCCCUUCCCCAGCCACUGCCUGGUUCAGGAAGCCAGCUGCUACAAGGGGCCACCCAAGUCCAGCAAAACUACUUAAUGUCUUUGCCCUUUCUCUUCCUCCACAAACAAGCCUUUCCCACGGGUAUGCAGACACCCAGGCCCUCGGUGAGGGAGUGAGGGAAGGAGGAGGUGCACCCUAGUGGCUCCUUCUCUCUGGUAGUAGCUAAACAAAUUUUGCAAACUACUGCCCAGGACCCAUUCCGGAGUCCUAGACUUCUAAGAUCUUGGCCUCCUGGCUCCAACUCAGAGGCAGAGAAGGAAGGAGUUCCUGAGUUAGGUGGGGGACCAGCAGGGUCAGGAAGAGGCCCAGGAAAAGCAGCAGCGUGACCUCCAGGUGCCUGACUCCAGCCCCUCUUUGUCAUCCCUCAGCAACGACAGAUGGCUUUGGGACCAGUUGGCUCCGGGUGUGCAGGGGACAGAGUGCAGCCAACCCUUGGUGGCAGCUUACUUUAAAAUUUUUAAAAGUACAAUUCAGUGACAUUAAAUAUAUCCACAAUGUUGUACCCAAUACCGCCUGCAUUCUGCUUUCUGUUCUGAGUCGCACCACCCAGGUGGAAGCGGCAGCUUGUUUUGUCAAUGUCCUCAAGUUGUAUCCGUGUUGUAACAUGGGUCAGAAUUUCCUUCCGUUUAAGCCUGAACAGCAUUCAGGGUCAUGAGAGAUCACAUUCUGUCCGCCUGGGUCACUUCUACCUUUGAGGUCCAUUUUAAGUUCUUCUGGGUCAGUUCCUAGGAGUGGAAUUGCUGGGUCAUACAGUGAAACUAUGCUUAGUUUUUUUUGAGGAACUGCUAGUUUUCCGUAGGGGCUGCACCAUCGCUCGUUCCACAAGCAUUCCAACUUUCACCACACUCUUGCUGAGACGGUUACUCUGCCUUUUCGAUCAUGGCCACCCUAAUGAGUGUGAGGUGGCAUCUCACUGCGGUUUGUUCAUUUCUUGAACCGUUCUGAGUGUUCCUGGUUUGAUGCCACACUUGGCUGAGUCAGAGCCAGCCUGAGGAAGAGACAGGUGCCCGGUCAGCCUCAGCUCUGCCCUUGAUGAACUAGUGGGCCCAGGUAGGUCAUGCCACCUCUCUGAGCCUUGGUUUACUCAUCUGUGAAAUGGAAUGGUAGUUGCUUUCAGGAAGGAUCCAGAUGGGAAAGAGUGUGACAUGUGCACAUGCGCCCAUAUGGGAUCUAGGGCUGUCCCACCUCACAGGUGCUGGGGAAGUGGCCUUGGAGCUGGCUAGAGCUGACCCCCAGUGAAGCUGAUGAGGAGAGCGCAUGGUGGAGACGUGUGGAGUGGCUUUCGCGGAGGGGACCAGCUGAUGGCACAGUGAGUUGGUGCCACGGUGCACACCCUGUAGUCCCAGCUACUCAGAGGCUGGCAACAUAGUGAGAUCCUAUCAAAAACCAACAAACAGAUCAAAACAACAUCAACAAAUGGUGCAGUGACCUCCAUGUGAGCAGGUCCCCAUGGAGGAGUGGGUGGAGGGGCACUGCUGUGCCUGGAUGUGGCACCUUCUUCCCAGCAUGGGAUGCUAGCAGAGACCUGGAAGGACCCCUCAUCGCCGGUCCCUCUGCUGGGAUCCUCCUUCCUCCUCCAGGACCCCACAGCACCGCGUGUGCCUUGGAGAGCUACAAGCCACAUGAGCUCAGCUCUGACGUGCAAGUUCUGGCAGAGACUGUCUGGCUUUUUCUCGGACUUUCUUGCAGACUGUGGCCCCCUUUUCUCCAGACCUCUCCAUGUCAGCAUCCGCUGAACCUGGGGUCCCCAUCUGGUAGGUCCAUACUAUUCUCCUGGUUGGUCCAGCUGACCCAGCAAAAUUUCAGAAGUAAGAGAAGAUGUGCAUGAGCAGCCACAGACUGGUUUUCUCUUCCGAUUUUCUGGGUCAAAAGACAGCGGCAGCACUGGAUCUUGCUCCCUCCUGUGUUUUCCUCCAGGUAUUUGCUGUAGGUCCCCAUCUUCACAGAAGACCCUCAGCUUCUGUGGGACCCAGCAUCCCCCUGUCCUUCCGCCCUGCUUGCUCCCCUCCUUGGCCUCUGCUGCAUUAAUUGACAGCCAGCUCCUCCCUCCCCACACUGGCUGGUGUGUGGCACGUGGGCUCAGGUGCAGGGGUGGGGAGGGGGCUUUGGGGAGGAACUCUGCUCAGGACCCUUCCUGCCUGGGGGCUCCUGCCCCCUUGCAUCCACCAACACCCCUCCCAGUGCCUCACUUCGGCCCACACCUAGACCUGUGCAUUCUGAUAUAUAUUAAACCACACGUGACAGUUUGCCAUAUUAAGGUACAUUUACUAGUGGCAUUUACUAGUUCCCAGCAUUGUGCAACCACCUCUUUUGUACAGUUCCAGAAUGAAAGUCCCAGUGUCAUGAAGCAGGUACCCGCCCCCUCUGCCCAGUCCCCUGCUCAUCCUCCUUCUGUCCCCAUGGAUUGGCCUUUUCUGGACACUCUCGGUGUGUUGUUCUCCGGGGGCUGCGCAGAGUGAAGAGAACACACAUGCACUUGAACUGACUCCAGGUCACAGAGAGGGGGGUCUGAAGGGGCACUGUGCAGUCAGCUCGCCUGCCUGCCCAGAGGGAGGCCAGGGCCCUGCAGUUGCUGGUGGAUCCCAGGGGGCCACUUUGUCAGCUGGUCUGCACCAGCUGGUGGUCUGGGGAGGGCUGGGGCAGGAUGAGCUGGCUUGUUAUCUGGAGGCUAAUGGUGCUAAGUCCAGACCCAAGUGGGCAAUUAGUGCAGGUUUGUUUGCUCUGGCUGUGGAGCGCGAUCGGGAGGGAGGCCUGAUGGGCUCAGGGCAUCUGUUGAAACCCCUUCCCCAUGGCCUCCCCCCUGCCAGCCAGCCUCAGCCAGACCUGGGUAGCCUGGAGCCACUGCCUUCUAUGGGGCCACCGUAUUGCUCCUGAGGAAGGCCUGUGAGGUCCGGGUGGUGUGGACAGCUGGCUUCGCAGGGCUGAGUCUGCAGCCUCUCCUCCUGCCUGUCUUGCCUGGCAGCCAGUGGCCUUGGGAGGAGAUGUGGCCGUGUUGUUAAAGCAUCAGGAAGCCCAGGGGGUCUUCUGGCAGUCACCAGUGGACUUCCUUGCAGGCAGCUGGAGAACUGGUCAGAAAGGGGAACUGGGUUAGACUUCCUGGAUCUGAGGAAAGAAGAGGGUGUGCAUCUCAGCCUGGGCAAGGUCAGGUGGGGCCCAGGACUCAGGGAGAGCCUGCCUUCUGCAGCUGGAAUGGUGGGAAGAAGAGCCCCCCACACCCCUGGGGACUGGCUUUCCACCCCUAGGCAGCCGGUGUUCUGCACUGUUCACAGGUCUGGGGAGGCAGGAGAAGCCGUUCACCUGGGCUCCUGCCAUCCAGGCCCCGACCCAUCUGUUUCUUUUUUUUGUAACAUGAGAGUCUCUGUGGGCUGCUGUGGGUUUUGGAAACACUUUGAAAAGCUGCCCUGUCACUCAGAUCUGUAGAUGUGUAGCACGUUGGCCUUAAAUUCAAGUCCCCAGGUGGUUUUGUGGGGACUACAUGUUCAAAUCCAUUUUUGUUUUAUACAUGUUAGGAAAAUGAGUCCAUUAGAUUGCUCAUUUCAUGGAUUGUCUUGCUUAGUCUAAGGAGAAGAGCAAGUUCAUCUUGCCCUGAGAUAAAGGAGAAUAUGAAGUAUGUGCCAGUUUAUGCCACCCAGCAACGUGAACACGGAGGCCCACUUAAUGACUGAGGUUAGGGAAGUGUUUCUUUGUCAGUUUCAGAUGGGAACAGGGGACAGGUCUGCCUUGGGGCUGUGGACGCUAGGUGGCCAGUUGCCUGUGACCUGGUAUGAUCCCCCGGGCUCCCGAUGCCCCUCUCCCACGUAUACCCCAGGUUUCCGGGAUUUCAGGGAAGCAGAAUACAGUCAGCCUCAGGUCACAUUGGUGACCAGAAGCUCAAUCCAUGUUUUAAAAAUAGAACCCAAGGCGCAUGAAUAAAUCUCUGUUCACCCCCAUCCCUGUGCAGAAUAUUCCCAGAGGAAAUUGCUCCUAUUACCCCAUUCUGCCGCAGAGCGCACAGCCACCGAGCUCCUUGUCCCUCUGUUAAUUCUAUGGGUGGAUGGACUGUGCUUUCCUGGCUUACUGGAGGGGCUGGAACACCGCUCGCCUAAUUGGGCAUCGAUUCCAGUAAGCCCGCCACUUGUGUCACAGCGUGUUCAAGGCUGGCUGAGCCAAGAUUAGACCACUGAGGGGAGGACUGCCAGGUUUCUCUGAGGACUCUUGGAGCGGUGAUCCCAGGGCGCUCUGGGGGGGGCUCUGGCCUCAUCCCAGCAUCUGAAGGGAGGUCGAUCUUCCUGCUGGCAGCCCUGGGCUGCAACCACAGGCCCAGGAACCAUUAGCCAGCUCAGGAGGGGACUGGGGCAGCCCGUCACUGCCCAUUCACUGGCCCAGAAGCUUCCCCUGGAUGAGGAACCUUCAAGAUGACCCACCAAGAGCGUGAAACAGGCCCAGCAGUGAGUGGCCUUGUUCUCUGCCCCUGGGCAGAAAGGAGUCAGUCACAGUAAGGUCCCCCUCCAGAGUGCCCCUCUGGCCUCCUGGCCCCCUCGACUCUGCCCUAGUGACUCACCCAGUGUUGCAUGAUCUGACUGGUGUCUGUUCUGCUCUUGCACCGUACGCGCCCAGAAUCCAUUCCAGACAACACUAGGCCCCUCACCUCUCUGCGCAUCCCUCCCUGCGUCUGCUCCAGCCCCAAGGCACCCGGCCGGCCAGUCCUUUAUCUGGAGUGCUCCCCCUGUCCACCCCCCUCCCCGGGACCCCUUCUUCCUUCGUAGCUGGGCUGCAGGAUCCCUUCCCUCCUGCACCCUACACCACUGCCCCAAGCUGGCACGGCCCUCUGGCAACUUGACCUUCCCGGCACUCCUCACAGUGUCCCCUGGCACUCACGCAGCAGAAGCUUCAUGCGCGGGAGCAGGGGAGGGUCACCAGUUCUCAGAGGGGCAGGCUGAGGCUGGGACUCCCCUGUCUGGAGCCCCAUCCCCUCUUCUCUCAGGAGCCCACUGGUGACCCCAGAGACUCAAGGCGCGCAGCCCAGGGCUGCCCAGAGGGAGCCCCACGAGCCUCACUGCCCCUGGGCUCGGGUGGACUGAGCCUGGAGGCUGGGCGGUCAGAGCAACCCAGACCCUUAGCAUCACCCACGGCCCCCAUGGGUGCCUGUGGGAGACCCAGGCAGGGCUCAGUCCUGCUGGUGCCUGGUCCUCUCCGUGCCCUUCCUAUCUGCUUGGACAAUGUGGGGGAUGCCAAGGCUGGUGGUGACAAAACCUGGUGGCCUCAGAAGCUAGGCCUGCAGGCUGAGGGUGGGUCUGGGUCCCAGGGCUGCCCAGAGGGUGGGGGACAUGGGUAUGGCCUCCCCUCACAACAUUGGGUGUGGGUGAUGCUUCCUGGCUCCAUGGCAGCUCUGACCCUGCACCAAUUCCAGUGGCUCAGCCUGGAGCUGCAGGGUGACCCUGAGCCCGGGCAGCAGAAGGGCUGAGGAAGGGUAGUGGGUGGAGAACUGAGAGUGUGGGCAGCGUGACCAGGCUGGGUCUGUCCUGACCUGACCGUGUGCUGCUGCUCACAGGUCACCUGCAGCCUCUGCUAUGGUGUGGGUGACAGGCCCUCCUUCUCUGGCCCACCUACUAUGCCUUCUUGUGUUGGGUGCCAGAAAGUCUAGCUGAGGAAAGAAGUCUAGGGAGACAGCGUGCAGUGCAGCCUAAGGAUAGUGCCACAGCAGUCUGCUGUCACUGCUGGAGUGAGUGACAGCAAAUGUGUUCUGCCGAAAGAGCCUGGCAAGCAAGACACUCAGUGAUGCAUGGACAAAAGUGCACAGAUGACUGGACAGGUGCUUGGGUGCAGAGGGGAUGGGUAGGUGGAUGAGUGCACUGGUGGGUAGGUAUGCGGAUAGAUGGGUGAUGGAUGGAUGGAUGGUUGACGGAUGGAUGGAUGGAUGGAUGGAUGGAUGGAUGAUUGAUGGAUGGAUGGUCAAUGCGUGGAUGGGUGGAUAUAUGAUUAGGUGGAUGGGUGGAUGUUGAAGGGUUGGGUGGGUGGUUGAUGGAUGGAUGGAUCGGGGAUGGGGGUGGGGAGGUGAGCUGCCUUGCUGGAAGGUGUGCGGCACAGAGUGAGUGUAAGUUGCUGUGGGUGAGCAGCAGAUCUUCAUGUCUGUCCUGAAUGUCAUGAUCAUGGGGAAAUGGGAAAUGCCGGUUUGGAUCCCACACGUGCAUGCCCACACACAUCCUUUCCUUUGGGUGUGCCUCUGGUCUAACGUCCAGUGCCUCUGUCUCACCAGUGCCCACUCCUUCCUAUCGGGGCCUGUUCCCCACUGGCUCCAGGUCUUCCACUCCAGGAAAGGAGAGUCCCACUGAAGAACCCACCCUAACCCACUGACAGGCCAUCACAGCCACCCCCUUUCUGGUUAUCCCACAGCCUUUGUGUAAGGCCUUCAAUAGUGUAGCUCCAAAGGAAGGCCAACGGAGAACUGGGGGGGGGGGGUGGAAGAGGACACUAAGAAGCCAUUGAGGUGCCCUAAAAUUCAAGUUAGCUGCCUGGGUGUGGCCUGGCCUAUGCAGGGGUCUUGGGAGUCAAAUGGGCAGUGCGGAGCCCACCCCAGGCUCAGUGCACGUGGGUGCUGGGAGAAUGGUGCCCAAGACCUCAUGUGGCCUGUGCCAGGAGAGGGCAGUCAGGUGCUGGGCCUGCUGGGCCGCCUGCUUGGCACGUGCACCUUUUCUCUUUUGAGGCUCACCUUCCUCCAGAGUACGAGCUGCUCAGGGCCAGGACCAGAGCUCACAGACCAGAGGUCCUGGGGUUGAACCAGCUGCCUGCACAGAGUCCCAGAUGGUUGUCAUGAGUGACCUAUUUCAUAUGCAGGUCAGGAUUUCUGGCUUCUAGAAAAACCAAAAUCUCUGGCAGCCUGGGCCCCUGUUCCUGUCCCCUGCUGUGGCAGUCAGGACUCUCAAGGUGGCCUGGACCCCACCUGCAGCAGGCACCGAGUGUGUGACUCCCAGGCUGACUACCUUCUGAGAGUCAUGGAGCAGAAUCAAGGACGUCAGGGAACCUGUCCCAGUGCUGUGACGUGCUCUCUGUCCCCUGCCCUGCAGCUUCACACAGGCCAUGCUGCGCCAACCCAAGAUGGAGGGCCUGGAUAACCCCGCCGCCUUCUGCUUGGGCCUGGUGCUCCUGGGCGUGGGCACCUUGUUUGUGCUGUCCAGCUUCUUUGCACUUGGAUUCACCGGAACCUUUCUAGGUAAGACCCAGGGCUGGGGGAGCUUGAGCAGGUACACUGGGGUCCAAGGAUGAGUGGGGCCCCGUGGCUGUCACCUGCCAUCUGUGACAUUCCCUGGGAAGCACCAGGGACCCAGCUG